rnacentral:rRNA from 1 species
UACGGAGGGUGCGAGCGUUGUCCGGAAUCACUGGGCGUAAAGGGCGCGUAGGUGGCGCGGCAAGUCAGCGGUGAAAGCCCGAGGCUCAACUUCGGGUCUGCCGAUGAUACUGCUGCGCUUGAGCACUGUAGAGGCAGCUGGAAUUCCCGGUGUAGCGGUGAAAUUCGUAGAUAUUCGCAAGAACACCAGUGGCGAAGGCGGCUCACUGGCCCGGUACUGACGCUGAGGUGCGAAAGCGUGGGGAGCAAACAGG